ACCUGGGGGGGGAUCGUUUUUGUUGCGGCUUAUACUGUUCCAGUUGCUCCAGCCACACGUGAAUAUUACUCGUCCGAUAAAAAUAAGUACAGCCGGUGUUUAAAAGGCCACGCGUGACCCCCCCCUCCACAGAGAUGCCAGUCUCCUCCUGACCAGCGGGCGGGACACCCCCCCUCAACCCCCACCUCUGCUCCUAGACACCCACCUUCAGGAAGUCAUCGAAGGUGAUCCCCUCGUAGACCUGAUCAGGCUCCUGGGGACAGAGCACACGCAGGCACUCUCUGUGACCAAAAGCCUGCUGCCAUCCCCUGUCCAUCAACAGAAGACUAGCUAAGUAAACCGCGGUCCUCCGUGCUAGUGGUCACCAGGCAUCCGUGAAGAAGGGGUCGCCCUCUACAUGCAGAUGCGGAGAAGGCUCCAAGAUACAUAGCGGAAAAAACAAGCAGAGAUGUCUGCAGAUGCCCGCGUGCAUGCCAAGUUCUUCCCGUGCCGCUGACCACACUGCCGCCAUCUGCCCCGGGGGCGUGUGGGGUCAGCACAGAGAAGCGGCAGGAAUUGUCAGUUCCACUGCGCGUACAUCAAAAAUAAAGCAUAUGUAUACGUU